GCAGUUGUGGCGGAAUUGGCAUACGCGCUAGACUAAGGAUCUAGUCUGGGAUAACUGGGUACGGGUUCAAGUCCCGUCAACUGCACUA
rnacentral:tRNA from 1 species